rnacentral:rRNA from 1 species
UACGUAGGGGGCGAGCGUUGUCCGGAUUUAUUGGGCGUAAAGAGCGUGUAGGCGGUUCGGUAAGUCUGUCGUGAAAUCCUGAGGCUCAACCUCGGGCGUGCGAUGGAUACUGCCGGGCUAGAGGAUGGUAGAGGCGAGUGGAAUUCCUGGUGUAGCGGUGAAAUGCGCAGAUAUCAGGAAGAACACCUAUGGCGAAGGCAGCUCUCUGGGACGGUACUGACGCUGAGACGCGAAAGCGUGGGGAGCGAACAGG